rnacentral:misc_RNA from 1 species
CAACUGAAAGUUUAAGGAUAAACGGAGCUGGCAUGGCUUCUCUUCAGGUCGGUCUAUCUUUCCCAUGCGGACCUCGAACUUCCAUAUAUCGGUUCAGAAACCGGCCGGUUCGAUGCACUAAUGAACGCCGGGCGCUCUUUAGCCGUAUUGCUCCUGUUUACGAUGACGUGCACCCUGUUUCCCCUUUGUUUCUUUUGUUUUAUUUCAUUUUAUUUCAUGUUAUUUAUGAUUUUUUUUUGUCGGAACAGUUGAAUGAUUUGUUGAGUUUGGGUCAGCAUCGAAUAUGGAAACGAAUGGCUGUAUCCUGGACUGGGGCAAAAAUGGGGGACAGUGUGUUGGAUUUGUGUUGUGGAAGUGGAGAUUUAGCAUUUCUCGUCUGACAAAGUUGGCUCCAAUGGAAAGGUUUCUUCUUUUCUCUCCUUAUGUUAUUUCUAUGUUCUUAGCAGUUUCUUGAUUAGAAAAUGUGCUAAGAAGCUUGAUGUUGGUUCAUGCAAAUUUGUGAAAUCAAUUAUGUGAAAUUUCAUUUGCUUGGGUAAUGAUAAUAUUGGUGAAGAAACACUGGGAUGAAAUUCUAACAAUGAGUACUGUUGUUCUAGUUUAAUUUGAUUGUGGUUGGAUUCUAGAGAUGAGAGUGCUAAUCUUGAGUAGCCUAGGGUUAAUGGGUCUAUUAAUGGAAAAUUAGUGAUGAAACAUAUUUUUGAACUUGUGGCUGGCUUCCCUCUAAUCAUAUAGUAGUUUGUUGCAUCUAACCUUAUUUUCUCUAUAACAAAAAAUGCUUUCUAGUAAGCACAAACUUGCAUUUUGUAUAAGUAUUAAUAUUUUAGCUGUUAACUGUUUGUUUCAUAUAAUGUUGUUGUCUUGUUGAAUGUCUUGCUUUCUGACUUUGUCUAAACUUGUGCUAUUGCAUAUACAUUUAUACAGUAUAGUUUGUAUAGUUUUGUUGUACAAUUCCCUUUUUUUAGCGACACUGUAGGUGACAGGUGUUGAUUUCUUGAGGGAGCAGCUGUUGAUUGCUUCAUCCCGGCAACAAUUGUCUUCAAAAGAAUGCUACCAAAUCAUCGAGUGAGCAUUGGUAUAUAUCAGCUUGGUGAAUGAAAAGAUUUUUAAUAGAUAGGGACACUGAAAGAUGCUUAAGGGGGUGGGGAAAAAACCCUUGGAAAAUGCUUAUCAAGUUCUAUACGAUUCAUGUAUAAUCAUUGAGUUUUCUGGCCUCAAUAAUGUGAAUGGUAGGGUGUCCUGCUCUAAAAAGAGAUUCUUGUGAUCACAGGUGGGUUGAGGGUGAUGCAACUGAUUUGCCAUUUUCUGAUUGUAACUUUGAUGCUGUUACCAUGGGUUAUGGGCUCCAAAAUGUGAUAGAUAAGUGCAAGGCCAUGCAGGAGAUAUUUCGAAUCCUCAAACCAGGUCCUUUUUUUGCUUUCCCUCUGCCUGAAAAUUAUCCAAUAAAAUGAUAGGUUGAUCAAAAAUUUCUCAUCCUUGCUCUGGGAUGUUUCGAAUCCC